GGCUGGCAGGGCUGGAGCGAUGGGAUGUCACCUUUCCCCAAGGCAAAGCAAGGCCAGCUCCUGCAGAUGGGGAAGAUGUGGAUGCCCCACCAGCAGCUGGCUUGCCCCGGGAAUGGCUGGCAACGCUCCCGAGUUUUCUGGCCUGAUACCGCUGUCCAAGGACUGAUUCUGGAUCAGUGGAACCAUCUGCCGACAGAAGAGCUCCAUAUCCAUCUGCACGCCCGCCGUAGCACAAGGACCCAGGCACUACGAGUCACUACUUAGCCACACUACAAAAGACAAAGCGUUUCUACAGUUGAGGAUAAACAACCCUCAGAUCCCAGUGGUGCUUAAAGCACUGAUCACUGACUGGGGAAAGAUAAACUCUGCCUGAAUUUUUAUCCUCCUCCUCUAACUUCUGCGAGCGCAGUGCACAUGGCUCUGACAAGGCACUACCGAAAGACUUCAGGUUUAGGACAUGAAAUUGUCCUUUGGUCAGGUAUUUGUUCUGAUUACAGCACAGAAAACGCAGCAAGCACCAAGAAGCAGAGUUCUGAGAAAGCCUCUCGCUGGGUUUUGUCCUCGCUGUGCAAAUUCUGACAGCAAACUCUCUCCAACAAACGCAUACAGCUCAGGGAGCAGAAGGAUGCAAGUCCAGAAGGAUUUCUCUCUCCCAAAACUAUGCCAACCCCUUUUCCUCUGUCUAUCCAGUUCUCUCUCUUAAAAGACACUUGCUUCCCGCAGAGCUGCCUUCCCCUCUGUAAAAGCACAGCGUCCCCAUGCAGCUACUAAAUGACAGCACAACCCAUCAGGUCGACGACCACCUAAGAAAACUUGGUACCUAGAAAGCAACCAGCAGACAGUGUCAUCUGGCCAAACCCCUCUCAGCACCCCCAGCAAGGGCGGCACAUCGCUUUGCUCUGCGGAUCUCCGCUCGCUGGCCUCUGAUCUAGAGGGCUGGCAAGCGAAGCAGCUGCAGAACUCACCCAGGAGCAGAGAGCCUGUGACGCCACGGCGCACUUCGCCCGGUCAGCUCGGAUCACCUACACCGCUCGGUCAAAGAGCCAAGUUUCAGCCUGUCUGGUUUGCUAGAUUGGAAACACCACAGCAGUGCUGUGCCAGGACUAGCACUGGUUAAGCUUGAUGGGUGGUUAUGGCUUUGGUACUGAGCGCUGCUAUACAAACAGACCCAAGAGAUGGCACCAGGGAGGUGGCACCUUCACAUCAAUGCAUGCCACUGGUGACUACCGCUCUAAGCCCCUUCCCAGCAUCAACAUCUUUGUUGUGAAGAUCCUGAUGACUUUGAAAGCCCUCACGAUAAAGGCAGACAGCAGAAAACACAAGAAAUUCAAACACUGGGAAGAAAAGAUCUAUGAAAGUCCUAACGGUGAGCCGAGACAUGGAUGCCGUUAAAACCUGUAAGGCUCUGAGCUUGCUCCUCCUGCAGUUUACCUAACAAUUCGCUAAUGGUUUGUAAACUGUGGCUAGCACGUGGGUGAAAAUAUCUUUCCCUUUUGCUUUAUUUAGCCAGUUUACACCUCUGCACAACACACAGCGAUGAAGGGGCGAGCCGAGGGAAGAGGCUGCUGAACGACUUUGUCUAUUGACAGCUCCUCCUGGAAGCCACACACAACCACACCGUGUGUUGUUGCAUCCUUCGGGUCAGACACUGCUCUUCCCAUCUGCCCUGGCUGCAAACUCCUCUGCUAGCCCUUCCCUCGGCUGCAGGUACACUGGCAGUGCAAAGCCUCGGUGACUGACAGCUCCCAGCCCUCACAGAUCACGGUUCAUGAUCACAGAAGCAAAGGCAUUUUUUUCCCUUCCUUUUUUUUUUUUUUAAGGGAAGGAGGCGGAGGAGAGGGGAGAUGUCUUAACUAAAGCACAUAGUUUAACAAUCAUCUUACCACUGGAGACGAAAUUCGACACCCAGGGCAAUCACAGAUUGGAGGAUGUACCUGUAAGAUUCCUUUGGACAUAAGAGUCUUCAAACUUUUCCCUGGAUGCAGAGGAGAGGAAAAAGAAGGAGAGUAAGAAAACCGAUCAGCACCCUUAUAGAAAGUUAAGUAUUUAGGGCAGCGGGGGCGGGAAGCACGCGUCUCCUUCCACACAAACAUCCCUCCCCUCGCCUGCAGCCCCCACCCCCGCCUGCCCCUUCACCCAACGGACACCCGAGCAGACAGGACCCGGCGCAACCCUGCCUAGCCCCUGCCUAACCUGGCUCCCACCGCUCCCGCAGCCUGCGGAGAACCGACGCCGCCGGCGCACCCUGGGGCUCAGUCGCAGCCUCCGCACCCGCGAGCGGCUCCGCGCUGCCUCCCGCCACCCGCGCAGCCAGCCCCGAGCCGGGGAACAGCCGUGCCAGCGUCCCCAUCCGUGUCACCUCGGCCCUCCUGACUCACCCCAGAGACACUGGGAUUUCCCGCAGGCAGCCCGGAGCCCAGUAAUAAAAGAAACAGAAGAGAUGAGCGGAGUAAGGACAAUUAGCGCAGCCCCCGCACUGAUCCCCCUUUUCUCUGGCGAUCAAUAAACAAGGCGAGGUGUCAGUCACCUCCUAAUAGCUCCUCAGA